UAAAGAUAGCUCAGUUGGUAGAGCAUGAAGAAGAAGAAGAAGAGUUUGGAUUUGAUAUUCCGCCUUUCACUCCCUUUAAGGAGUCUCAAAGCGGCUAACAAUCUCCUUUCCCUUCCUCCCACACAACAAACAUUCUGUGAGGUGAGUGGGGCUGAGAGACUUCAAAGAAGUGUGACUGGCCCAAGGUCACCCAGCAGCUGCAUGUGGAGGAGCAGGGAAGCGAACCCGGUUCCCCAGAUUACGAGAUUACCGCUCUUAACCACUACACCACACUGGCUCUCAAAUCUCAGGGUUGUGGGUUCAAGCCCCACAUUGGGCAAAA